AUGAAAAUAAAGAAAACAGUCUUAGCUCAGUAAUAUAUCGAUUUUGAACAGACAUUUCUGUGUUAACUUAACAUGAAAGUGUAUUCAGUUAAUACAACUUAAAAAUCUCGUAAGCGUCCUUUAAAAGCUGAGUACAAGGCUGACUUGCCCGGACAUGUUGUGCUCUCAGACCACUGAUCGAAAGAAACGGAGGCAAAGAGAGAAAGCAGAGAAGCGGCAUUUUGUACGGAACAUUAUCAAACGUUAAAGCUUUGUGGCAGGAAGUUGUCAAUCAAGCACCAAAAAAUCAAUGACCUGAAAGAAAGAUGGCCUGCUCUUUUUGAUGCAGUUCAGAUAAACCAAGAAUUCAGAAGGAUCACCACUGUUAACCUGGAGACAACAUUCAUGGCAAAGCUGGACCAGUACUCUCAGAAAAUAAUGUCCUUGCUGUCCUCAAGAGGAGGGGCUGCAAAAAUGCGCAUUCGGCGCAUC